rnacentral:rRNA from 1 species
UGAAUACGAGAUGCUACGGCGUCGAAGCAGUCUAUGUCAUACUUCCAAGAAAAGCUUGCACUGUCAUAAACAAAUAAUGCCUGUACCAUAACCGACACAGGUGGGUAGGUAGAGUAUACUAAGGGGCGCGAGAUAACUCUCGCUAAGGAACUCGGCAAAAUGACUCCGUAACUUCGGGAGAAGGAGUGCCUUAUUUAUAAGGUUGCAAUAACAAGAUCCAAGCAACUGUUUACCAAAAACACAGGUCUCCGCUAAGUCGUAAGACGAUGUAUGGGGGCUGACGCCUGCCCAGUGCCAGAAGGUUAAAGAAGUUGGUUAGCAUCCGCGAAGCUGAUAACUGAAGCCCUGGUGAACGGCGGCCGUAACAAUAACGGUCCUAAGGUAGCGAAAUUCCUUGUCGGGUAAGUUCCGACCCGCACGAAAGGCGUAAUGAUUUGGAUACUGUCUCGGAGAGGGGCUCGGUGAAAUAGACUUGUCUGUGAAGAUGCGGACUACCUGCACCAGGACAGAAAGACCCUAUGAAGCUUUACUGUAACCUGAAAUUGAAAUUGGACUUUACUUGCGCAGUAUAGGUGGGAGGCGUUGAGAAUAUUCUUGCGGGAUUAUUGGAGCCAUCAGUGAGAUACCACUCUUGUAAUGUUAGAUUUCUAACUUUGUAUCAUUAUCUGGUCAAAGAACAGUUUCAGGCGGGCAGUUUGACUGGGGCGGUCGCCUCCUAAACGGUAACGGAGGCGCACAAAGGUUUCCUCUGAACGGGUAGAAAUCGUAUCUAGAGUGUAAAGGCAUAAGGAAGCUUGACUGUGAGACCUACAAGUCGAGCAGGGACGAAAGUCGGUCUUAGUGAUCUGACGGUGCUGAGUGGAAAGGCCGUCACUCAACGGAUAAAAGUUACUCUAGGAUAACAGGCUGAUCUCCCCCAAGAGUUCACAUCGACGGGGAGGUUUGGCACCUCGAUGUCGGCUCAUCGCAUCCUGGGGCGGUAGUACGUCCCAAGGGUUGGGCUGUUCGCCCAUGAAAGCGGUACGCGAGCUGGGUUCAGAACGUCGUGAGACAGUUCGGUCCAUAUCCGGUGUAGGCGUUAGAAUAUUGAGAGGAGCCUUCUUUAGUACGAGAGGACCGAGAAGGACAUACCUCUGGUGUACCAGUUAUCGUGCCAACGGUAAACGCUGGGUAGCUAUGUGUGGAGUGGAUAACCGCUGAAAGCAUCUAAGUGGGAAGCCCACCUCAAGAUAAGUAUUCUCA